rnacentral:rRNA from 1 species
GGGAAUUGUUCGCAAUGGGCGCAAGCCUGACGACGCAACGCCGCGUGGAGGAUGAAGGUCUUCGGAUUGUAAACUCCUGUUGCCCGGGACGAAAAGCUUCAACCUAACACGUUGAAGUCUGACGGUACCGGGUGAGGAAGCCCCGGCUAACUCAGUGCCAGCAGCCGCGGUAAUACAGAGGGGGCAAGCGUUGUUCGGAAUUACUGGGUGUAAAGGGUUCGUAGGCGGUGCGGCAAGUUGGGAGUGAAAUCUCUGGGCUUAACCCAGAGGCUGCUUCCAAAACUGCUGUGCUUGAGUGUGGGAGAGGCGCGUGGAAUUGCAGGUGUAGCGGUGAAAUGCGUAGAUAUCUGCAGGAACACCCGUGGCGAAAGCGGCGCGCUGGACCACUACUGACGCUGAGGAACGAAAGCUAGGGGAGCAAA